GACGAACGCUGGCGGCGCGCCUAACACAUGCAAGUCGAACGGAGCUGAGAGGAGCUUGCUUUUCUUAGCUUAGUGGCGAACGGGUGAGUAACGCGUGAGUAACCUGCCCUGGAGUGGGGGACAACAGUUGGAAACGACUGCUAAUACCGCAUAAGCCCACGAUCCGGCAUCGGAUUGAGGGAAAAGGAUUUAUUCGCUUCAGGAUGGACUCGCGUCCAAUUAGCUAGUUGGUGAGGUAACGGCCCACCAAGGCGACGAUUGGUAGCCGGACUGAGAGGUUGAACGGCCACAUUGGGACUGAGACACGGCCCAGACUCCUACGGGAGGCAGCAGUGGGGGAUAUUGCACAAUGGGGGAAACCCUGAUGCAGCGACGCCGCGUGGAGGAAGAAGGUUUUCGGAUUGUAAACUCCUGUCGUUAGGGACGAUAAUGACGGUACCUAACAAGAAAGCACCGGCU
rnacentral:rRNA from 1 species